AAUCGGUGUACGAUACCGGGGACUUGUCCCCACCAUUGAGCCGAGGGGAACGAGCCCCAGUAACAGCAUCCGAAAGGGUGGAAAACUGAAAAAGCAAACGGAGGGUGGAGUUUGGUAGGUUUCCUUAUUGGAUUCUCGAAGAAGUCAGGCCCG
rnacentral:ncRNA from 1 species